AUACUUAGCUGGCAGGGGAGACACCAUGAUCACCAAAGUGGUUCUCCCAGGACGAGGCUAUCCCAUUGCACUUCGGGUGUGCUGACGCCUGCGAUGUCCCCAAAUGCGGGAUACUCGACUGCAAAAUGUAAUGCAUUUCGUUGUCUCUGUACUGUACACUGACAAU